AAGGCCUGCUGUAACCACUCCCUGGUACUGCCUGUGUUCACUCAAGGUCCCGGGGCUCUACAAUCAGCAAGACAGCAUUGAAUUCAGAGCCUCACAAUUGCUGUGUUCUACUUCGCCUAGCAACCAGAGAUGAUCCCUGCAACAUGCUGCUGUUGCUGGGAGUGGGAAAGAGGUGGCAUCGGCGGUUCAAGACUGAGUUUUCUAUCUCUUCAGUGCCUCUUUCAACAAUGAAGAUCAAACCAGGUUUUGUGCAAAUAUCUGCUGAGUGAACUACUUAUUUGAAAAUACAUCAUUGGUUAAUAUUCCCUUUUGCUCAUUGAAAUCUCAAAGACUACAGACCCCGCACAAGACAUUCUGACAUUCCCGUCUUUGAAAUGAAUGACAGCAAUGAUAAAUAUGGCUCACCUCCAGAGAUACAGAUCUCACAACUUCAUAUUUUUAAUAUAAAUUAUUAAUCUGAGAAGCAGAGAGAGAUAAGACCCAUGAUAAUCAAGCCAUAAACAGAUGCAUUUACUAGCUGAAUGGCCAACAAUGGAAUUCAACAAAUCCAUCUUGAGCACGGCAGCCAGGAGUGUGGUGCAAUUCCAUUAGAUGAAAGAGAUCUACACAUUCAGAAGCACAUGAUUCUUCCCCCUUCCAUGAUUCCAGUGGCCAAUAGACAAACUACAAUAAAGCCAUGCCCUGACUGGAUGUGCCUAACAUUUGUCUGGUGCUUAAAGGAGUUGGCUGCAUGCGUGGGAUGGAGAAGGAUUCAACAUUUAAUGGCAGUUAGAAUCAAAUUUUUAACUCAAGAAGGCAGAAGGAAUCCACCUAAAUAAAUGUUGGAAAGUCACCAAAAAUAGUUCUCCAAGUCAGAAGCGGUGCAAAAGCUGCCUCAGCUCUUGGUGGAUUUUCAAUUUCUCCCAGCCAUCUCUGUUUCGCUAAAGGUUUCUGAAGACAGUGGGUAUGUGGCAAACUUCUGCAAUUCUAUAUUAAGAUAAACUGUUAGAUCAAU
rnacentral:lncRNA from 1 species